rnacentral:rRNA from 1 species
GAUGAACGCUGGCGGCGUGCCUAAUACAUGCAAGUCGAGCGAAGCGGCGGACGGGUGAGUAAUGUCUGGGAAACUGCCUGAUGGAGGGGGAUAACUACUGGAAACGGUAGCUAAUACCGCAUACCAUCAGAUGUGCCCAGAUGGGAUUAGCUAGUUGGUGGGGUAAAGGCCUACCAAGGCGACGAUCCGUAACUGGUCUGAGAGGAUGAUCAGUCACACUGGAACUGAGACACGGUCCAGACUCCUACGGGAGGCAGCAGUGGGGAAUAUUGGACAAUGGGCGAAAGCCUGAUCCAGCCAUGCCGCGUGUGUGAAGAAGGUCUUCGGAUUGUAAAGCACUUUAAGUUGGGAGGCGUUACCAACAGAAUAAGCACCGGCUAACUUCGUGCCAGCAGCCGCGGUAAUUC